GAUGAAGAACGUAGCGAAAUGCGAUAAGUAGUGUGAAUUGCAGAAUUCAGUGAAUCAUCGAAUCUUUGAACGCACAUUGCGCCCCUUGGUAUUCCAUGGGGCAUGCCUGUUCGAGCGUCAUCUACACCCUCAAGCUCUGCUUGGUGUUGGGCGUCUGUCCCGCCCCCGCGCGUGGACUCGCCCCAAAUCCAUUGGUAGCGUUCCUUGCCCCCUCUCGCGCAGCACAUUGCGCUUCUCGAGGGCGGCUCCGGGACGCGAUCCAGCAAGAUGACCACCGUCUUUGACCUCGGAUCAGGUAGGGAUACCCGCUGAACUUAAGCAUAUCAAUAAGCGGAGGA
rnacentral:misc_RNA from 1 species